GACGAACGCUGGCGGCGUGCUUAACACAUGCAAGUCGAACGGAAAGGCCCGGCUUGCUUGGAGUCCUCGAGGGGCACAGGCGUGCGUGACAGGUGCGCAACCCCCCCCUGCCUUUGAUACCGCUUUAAGACUGUGGCGGUAAGACCAUAUCGGUGUGUUUUCCAUUUGGGGGGUCUGAUAGAGUUUCGGCGGUUGGGGAUGGGCUCGGGGCUUACGAGCUGUUGGGUGGGGGAGUGGCUUACCAAGGCCUUGGCGGGUAGCCGGCCUGAGAGGGUGACCGGCAACAUUGGGACUGAGAUACGGCCCAGAGUACUACGGGAGGCAGCAGUGGGGAAUAUUGCACAAUGGGCGCAAGCCUGAUGCAGCAACGCCGCGUGAGGGAUGACGGCCUUCGGGUUGUAAACCGCUUUCGCCUGUGACGAAGCGUGAGUGACGGUACCGGGUGAAGAAGCACCGGCUAACUACGUG
rnacentral:rRNA from 1 species